UCCCUGGUAGUAUAUCGGUUAGUACACGCGCCUGUCAGAAAGGUCCGUGCGCGCGAAAGCUGGGUUCGACUCCCAGCCAGGGAG